AAUUAAUCAGAAUCACUUCAUAAAAUUACAACUGGAACCACUGUGAGGCAAAGAAGAAGUUGAAUUUUGCCUUAUACUGUGCUAGAGUUCUGACCUGGAUUAAAUAAAAAGCAAAGAAACUUUGCUCUUCAAUGGCUCCUCUAUUUCACUUAGCAGCUGCAAGAUUCAGGAAAACAAGAAUGGCAGAUUCUGGAGGCUGGCAGUGUAUGAGUGCAUAAAGCAGAGGGACUGUGGUAUAAUGCUGCAGCAGCUUCAGAGCAUGGCAGAGCAUCUGAGCUCACCUGCAGUCUGCCAAAUGCAGCAUAGAAAAACCUUCUAAACAUCAGAUUGUUGAGCAGCCGAGAGAUCUGGUCUCCAACAGUGGGAAGCUUUGAGUGACUCCCUGUUGUCCUGCAGCCCGCAGUCUGCUAACGCACAAGUUCCUAAUGAUUAUAAAGGCUGUGUAGCCAGGUUGCCUCCAAGCAAAAUGUCAGAAGCUGUUGGAAGAGAGGAAGGAGAGAAGAGCAUGGACAACUUAGGCUGCCAGGGCUGCAACAAGUGGAUGUCAAAUCUGCUCGGAGUUGGAAUAUGAAAUCAUACAGCAAGAACAGUAUAAUGGUCUGCUAGGUUAUUUUACGGGGUUCUGCACUUCAGAUAUUCCAGCUAGUUCUCUGUCUCCAGAGUAGAACUUUAGUGGUUUGCAGAAAAAGGUAGGAAAUACAGCAUGCUCCAUUAGGUUUGUGGAGAACAGCAAAAGCCUGUUAACCAGAUCAGGUCAACCCACUUCAAUGAGUGGGCUUUCUGAACAUUUCCACUGUGUGAUCUUAAUAUGAAAUCAACUGGUGAAAGAUUUCAUUUGUCAGAAGUACAUAGGCUGAUCUGAAAGUGAUGCCUUUUUUUUUUUUU
rnacentral:lncRNA from 1 species